GGUCGCCUCGACGACAUGCUGUCACGCAUCGCCAUGGAGACGCAGGAGAUCAAAGAGCUGGAGCAACAGCUGACCGACGGUCAGAUUUUGGCUAAUGAAUGUCUUCAGAGAGAUUUGCAGGGCAUCAUCUCUGGACUGCAGGAGUAUCUGAGAGGACUCAGAGAGCAGGCUCGUCGUGCUCAGCAGCAGGUUCUCAGUCUGCAGCUCAACCUGGAGGACAGUGCCAGGACACACAGACAGGUACGUGUCUGA
rnacentral:lncRNA from 1 species